UAUAUUUCAAUCAGAUUAGUUAAAGCAGUAAAACAAUUAAUUUGAUCUCUGGCAUGCGCUCAAAUCAAGAUCACUUUGUAUGAUGGUCAAAGCAUAAAGUUCAGUUUUAGUUAAGAGUUCAUAUACUAAUUGCAGAAGGAACCAAUUUCCAGUUGAAAUAAUUUUUAAUAAGACCAGGCAGGAAAUGAAAAAACCUGCAAAUUUUGGUUCCUAUUUUUACAUGCAGCAUUUGCCCUUUUUCAAGGAGUUCUGUAACAUUCCCACUAGUGUUAUUAAAGAAUUAUAUAAAUGAAACAACACAAGCUCCCGUGCUCAAAAUUGUAAAAGUUAUCAAGAAAAAAUAAUGCUGGAUGCUUUAGGCUGGCUUAUUCAGACUCAUAAAUAAGGUCAAAUCAACUCAAAUUCAUUGCCAAAUCAAAUGUGAACUGCAAUGCAGAACAAGACCUUCCCACUAGUGUUAUUAAAGAAUUAUAUAAAUGAAACAACACAAGCUCCCGUGCUCAAAAUUGUAAAAGUUAUCAAGAAAAAAUAAUGCUGGAUGCUUUAGGCUGGCUUAUUCAGACUCAUAAAUAAGGUCAAAUCAACUCAAAUUCAUUGCCAAAUCAAAAGUGAACUGCAAUGCAGAACAAGACCUUCACCCGUAUGUGGCCAUAAAGAAAAGAUUUAAGCUCCUGACUGAAUGAGAUGCAUUUCCGAUUCAUUGUCAGAAAAUUCAAUUUAGCUUCCAAAGUUCUAAUAUGAACAAUCAUUUAACCACUAAAGUACAAAAGCAUGUCAAGACAAAAUGGGGCGAUGGAAAAGAAAAGGCCUUACU
rnacentral:lncRNA from 1 species